rnacentral:rRNA from 1 species
UGGGGAAUAUUGCACAAUGGGCGCAAGCCUGAUGCAGCCAUGCCGCGUGUAUGAAGAAGGCCUUCGGGUUGUAAAGUACUUUCAGCGGGGAGGAAGGGAGUAAAGUUAAUACCUUUGCUCAUUGACGUUACCCGCAGAAGUAGCACCGGCUAACUCCGUGCCAGCAGCCGCGGUAAUACGGAGGGUGCAAGCGUUAAUCGGAAUUACUGGGCGUAAAGCGCACGCAGGCGGUUUGUUAAGUCAGAUGUGAAAUCCCCGGGCUCAACCUGGGAACUGCAUCGGAUACUGGCAAGCUUGAGUCUCGUAGAGGGGGGUAGAAUUCCAGGUGUAGCGGUGAAAUGCGUAGAGAUCUGGAGGAAUACCGGUGGCGAAGGCGGCCCCCUGGACGAAGACUGACGCUCAGGUGCGAAAGCGUGGGGAGCAAACAGG